UUAGAAACAAAAAAUGAAAAGCCAGGUAAAAGUUCCAAGGGCUGUAAGAAGCCUGCAAAACGACAUGGGAAGAAAGCAACCUCCAAAGUGCCCUCUGCUCCUCAGUUUGUUCAUUCCAAUGAUCAUGCCAAUCAAGAGGCUGAAUUAAAGAAGAAGAGAGUUGAGGAGAUGAGGGAGAAGCAAACUGCCCAGGAACAAGAAAGACAAAAACGCAGGUCUAUCAAGAGCUACUGUGAGGAUAUCCUAACACGCCAGGAGGAGUUUGAGCGUAAGGAGGAAGUUUUGCAGGAAUUAAAUAUGUUUCCUCAGCUGGAUGACGCGGCCACGAGGAAGGCUUAUUACAAGGAGUUCUGUAAGGUGGUAGAAUACUCUGAUGUGAUUCUGGAAGUCCUGGAUGCCACAGACCCAUUAGGCUGCUGCUGCUUCCAAAUGGAGGAGGCUGUCCUAUGGGCAGAAGGCAACGAGAAGCUGGUCCUGGUCUUGAACAAGAUUGACCUGGACCCCAAGGAGGUUGUGAAGUGGCUGGAUUACCUUCAGAAAGAGUUGCCAACUGUGGCUUUCAAGGCCAGGACCCAGCAUCAGGUCAGCUUUGGAGCUGAAAACCUCAUGAGGGUUCUGGGGAACUAUUGCCACCUUGGUGAAGUGUGCACCCACAUCAGUAUGGGUGUUGUGGGCCUUCCCAAUGUUGGGAAGAGCAGCCUGAUUAAUAGCCUGAAGCACAGCCAUGCAUGCCGUGUGGGAGCCAUUCCUGGGGUCACGAAAUUGAUGCAGGAGGUCUACCUAGGCAAGUUCAUCUGGCUGCUGGAUGCUCUAGCCAUUGUCCCACGGCCCAGCUCCGAGGUGGGCACCAUUCUGCAUAGUUGCAUCCACGUGCAGAGGCUGGCAGACCCGGUAACCCCAGUGGAGACCAUCUUGCAGAGCUGCAACCUGGAGAUUUCCAACUAUUACCUCCUCUCUGGGUACCAGACCACUGAGCACUUUCUGAUGGCAGUGGCGCACCAUUUGGGGGAGAAGAGAGACUUAUGCAGUCAGGAGCAGGCAGCCAAAGCUGUCCUAGCUGACUGGAUGAGCGGGAAGAUCAGCUUCUAUAACCACCACCACCCACUCACACUCUGCCUGCCUGUCUCAGCGCUGAGAUCAUUAAGCAAAUGACCAAGGUCUUUCACAUCAAGAAUACUGAGCAGGUCAAUGAAGACACCAUGGAAUGCUUGGCCACUGGAGAAUCUGAUGAGGUGUUGGAUGACAUGGACCCACUCAAAAUGGAGAUCAAGUUGCUCCAUUAUCCAAUGAUGAAAAUAGCAGAUGCCAUUGAAAAUAAAGCCACCAAGUAUAAGAUCAGAGAUCUCACUGGGUGUUGCACCAAUCCGAAUCGUCAUCAGAAGGGGUGGGGCUAAACUCAAUGUGGAUGACCACCCUAAAAACAACAGUGAAGUGGAUGUGUGCCCAGUGGACUGCUGCCCAGUAUUGCAGAGGAUCAUGGAGAUGGACUCCCUAAAACAGGGCCAGGCUCUGGCAUCCUCCCUAAAGAAUAAGAAGAAUACACAGAAAUGUGCAGAUAAAAUCGCCAGGGAGCUGUCUGAUUCCAUGAUGUCUGCUGUCAACCUCUCUGGCAAUGUUGAUGGCGGUGUUGAUGACUAACUGUCUGAUCUCACUUCCCUUCCGAUCCAAGCACCAGUUCCAAUGGGACGGGGGAUUACCAAUGAAAUAGUUUGGUUCUCCUUGAAGCAUCUGCGCAUUAAAAGAACCCUUCCACAACUAUGUUUCUUUCUUCCCACUGUUCUCUGCACUCUCUCCAGGAAAAAGAGCCCCAAGAGACUGGAGCUGACAAACUCAAUACCCUUUAUUUAACCCCUACUCUGUUUUAUAACAGAAAUAAAAGAAGUAUCAGCAGAAAAAAAAAAAAGAAAAGAACAUAACCCCCUCCCACCCCCCCCCCAAAAUACCAUUCUUUUGAAAAGAAUGGUUUUUGGGGGUAUUACCCCCAAAAAAUAUUCUUGGGGGAUAUUCUUUUGAAGCAAUAUUAUUCUUUUGAAAAGAAAGAGCAUUAAUAAACCAUU